rnacentral:rRNA from 1 species
AACGUAGGAGACAAACGUUAUCCGGAGUUACUGGGCGUAAAGGGCUCGUAGGCGGCCAACUAAGUCAGACGUGAAAUCCCCAGGCUCAACCUGGGAACUGCGUCUGAUACUGGAUGGCUUGAAUCCGGGAGAGGGAUGCAGAAUUCCAGGUGUAGCGGUGAAAUGCGUAGAUAUCUGGAGGAAUACCGGUGGCGAAGGCGGCAUCCUGGACCGGCAUUGACGCUGAGGAGCGAAAGCUAGGGGAGCAAACGGG